CCUACGGGAGGCAGCAAGGAAGAAUAUUGGGCAAUGGGGGAAACCCUGACCCAGCAAUGCCGCGUGAAGGAAGAAGGCCUUCGGGUUGUAAACUUCUGUGACAGGGGACGAAAGAAAUGACGGUACCCUGAGAGGAAGCCCCGGCAAACUACGUGCCAGCAGCCGCGGUAAUACGUAGGGGGCGAGCGUUGUCCGGAAUUACUGGGCGUAAAGAGCGCGUAGGCGGCUCUGCAAGUCGUUUGUGAAAGCCCCAGGCUUAACUUGGGGAUUGCAGGCGAAACUGCGGAGCUUGAGUGCGGUAGAGGAAAGUGGAAUUCCUAGUGUAGCGGUAAAAUGCGCAGAUAUUAGGAGGAACACCAGUGGCGAAGGCGACUUUCUGGGCCGCAACUGACGCUGAGGCGCGAAAGCGUGGGGAGCAAACA
rnacentral:rRNA from 1 species